rnacentral:rRNA from 1 species
AUUGAACGCUGGCGGCAGGCUUAACACAUGCAAGUCGAGCGGAAACGAUGAUAGCUUGCUAUCAGGCGUCGAGCGGCGGACGGGUGAGUAAUACUUAGGAAUCUACCUAGUAGUGGGGGAUAGCACGGGGAAACUCGUAUUAAUACCGCAUACGACCUACGGGAGAAAGGGGGCAGUUUACUGCUCUCGCUAUUAGAUGAGCCUAAGUCGGAUUAGCUAGAUGGUGGGGUAAAGGCCUACCAUGGCGACGAUCUGUAGCUGGUCUGAGAGGAUGAUCAGCCACACCGGGACUGAGACACGGCCCGGACUCCUACGGGAGGCAGCAGUGGGGAAUAUUGGACAAUGGGGGAAACCCUGAUCCAGCCAUGCCGCGUGUGUGAAGAAGGCCUUUUGGUUGUAAAGCACUUUAAGCAGUGAAGAAGACUCCGUGGUUAAUACCCACGGACGAUGACAUUAGCUGCAGAAUAAGCACCGGCUAACUCUGUGCCAGCAGCCGCGGUAAUACAGAGGGUGCAAGCGUCAAUCGGAAUUACUGGGUGUAAAGGGAGCGUAGGUGGCUCUAUAAGUCAGAUGUGAAAUCCCCGGGCUUAACCUGGGAACUGCAUCUGAAACUGUAGAGCUAGAGUAUGUGAGAGGAAGGUAGAAUUCCAGGUGUAGCGGUGAAAUGCGUAGAGAUCUGGAGGAAUACCGAUGGCGAAGGCAGCCUUCUGGCAUAAUACUGACACUGAGGCUCGAAAGCGUGGGUAGCAAACAGG